AACCAACAGGGAUUGCCUCAGUAACGGCGAGUGAAGCGGCAACAGCUCAAAUUUGAAAUCUGGCCCUUUCAGGGUCCGAGUUGUAAUUUGUAGAGGAUGUUUCGGCGAGUGCUCCCGUCUAAGUUCCUUGGAACAGGACGUCAUAGAGGGUGAGAAUCCCGUAUGUGAUGGGUUGCGCGAGCCAUGUGAAACUCCUUCGACGAGUCGAGUUGUUUGGGAAUGCAGCUCUAAAUGGGAGGUAAAUUUCUUCUAAAGCUAAAUACCGGCCAGAGACCGAUAGCGCACAAGUAGAGUGAUCGAAAGAUGAAAAGCACUUUGGAAAGAGAGUUAAAAAGUACGUGAAAUUGUUGAAAGGGAAGCGCUUGCAACCAGACUUGCCCGCAGUUGCUCAACCCGCCUCCUGGCGGGUGUACUCUUCUGCGGUCAGGCCAGCAUCAGUUCGGGCGGCCGGAUAAAGGCGUCGGGAAUGUAGCUCCUCUCGGGGAGUGUUAUAGCCCGGCGCGACAUGCGGCCAGCCUGGACUGAGGAUCUCGCUUCGGCUAGGAUGCUGGCGUAAUGGUUGUAAGCGGCCCGUCUUGAAACACGGACCAAGGAGUCUAACAUCUAUGCGAGUGUUUGGGUGUCAAACCCAUGCGCGUAAUGAAAGUGAACGGAGGUGGGAACGCGCAAGCGUGCACCAUCGACCGAUCCUGAUGUCUUCGGAUGGAUUUGAGUAAGAGCAUAGCUGUUGGGACCCGAAAGAUGGUGAACUAUGCCUGAAUAGGGUGAAGUCAGAGGAAACUCUGAUGGAGGCUCGCAGCGGUUCUGACGUGCAAAUCGAUCGUCAAAUUUGGGUAUAGGGGCGAAAGACUAAUCGAAC
rnacentral:rRNA from 1 species